GCUCCAGACUCCUACGGGAGGCAGCAGUGAGGAAUAUCGGUCAAUGGUCGGGAGACUGAACCAGCCAAGCCGCGUGAGGGAGGAAGGUACAGAGUAUCGUAAACCUCUUUUGUCAGGGAACAAAGGCGGGGACGUGUCCCCGGAUGAGUGUACCUGAAGAAAAAGCAUCGGCUAACUCCGUGCCAGCAGCCGCGGUAAUAAGGAGGAUGCGAGCGUUAUCCGGAUUUAUUGGGUUUAAAGGGUGCGUAGGCGGAAGGUUAAGUCAGCGGUCAAAUGUCGGUGCUCAACACCGGCCUGCCGUUGAAACUGGUCUUCUUGAGUGAGCGAGAAGUAUGCGGAAUGCGUGGUGUAGCGGUGAAAUGCAUAGAUAUCACGCAGAACUCCGAUUGCGAAGGCAGCAUGCCGGCUUCCGACUGACGCUGAAGCACGAAAGCGUGGGGAUCGAACAGGAUUAGAUACCCUGGUAU
rnacentral:rRNA from 1 species